ACAUGACGUCUUUAGACGAAAGAGCAGUGCAGAAGCUCUGCAGGCAUUAGUUACGCCUGAAACUUUCGAAGGAAUUGCACGAUGAAGCUCAACGGGAGAAGCAACGCGUAAUCGAUCAACGAGUUUGAAUAAGCCAGGAGAAAUCUAGUGCUAGGCUUGUCUGUCAACCUGAGCUGGCCUCAGGAGCUAGAGCUAUCAAGGAAGGCUCAAUUAAGAAGUAUCUUAACAUGGUCAAUACCUUGGAACGGAAGACCCAAAAUCCCAAAAAGUCAUAUGGUGUAAAUCCUGGCAAUCUCAGACUAAGCGAUUAAAUAGUUUUCAUGGAAAGCAUGUGCAGGUGUCAUUGAAUAAUCAUUGCCAUUCCAUUGUCUUAUUUGAUUUGUGUGAAAACCAAACAGUUUUCGUGCAGUGUCAAAUGGUGUAAGUUUCAUUAUGAAGGUGCUGAAAUCUCAGAUACCCAAAGAAUGCGUGUAUUGCUGAAUAGAUAAAUUUGAUCGUCUCAAUGAGAAGGGUGUUAUCGUGACACAACCACAUUUAAAUAGUGGUGUAUUCCCGUGACACACACUUGGUUCAGUUCCUUUGAUGAAACAAGAUGGGCAUGUUUGUUCGCUUCUCCGCCCGCUGAAUCUUCGUUCGCAAAAGGUUAAGAUUUCAUGGAUGAGUUUACGGAAAAGAAAAAGAACUAUUGGACGAAUUGUUGUCGGGCGUAGAGGCGUUUGAAGAAGGAGACUUCGGAUAUGCCACUGAAGCAACUGAAGAUGGCGAUUCGGACGCCUUAGCCAUCAACAAAUUACUAUUAUUUUCUUUUGCAAGUCUGUAGGCUAAUGCAUGAACCAAUUUAUUCCAUACAAAUAUUAAACUGAA